GCCAGUGUGGGUUAAUGGUUUGAGUGUUGGACUAUGACUCUGGAGACCAGGGUUCAAAUCCCUGCUGAGCCA
rnacentral:tRNA from 1 species